rnacentral:lncRNA from 1 species
CACGUUCACUCACACAUGCUGCUUCUACUUCGGAAGUACCAUCCACAUAUAUCCACUCAAUUCCAUCUCCAGAACCACCCAAAAAUAUUCUACUCCUAAUCCGGGAAAGAAUAGCCAAAAAUAUUUCUGUUUUUUCCCUGUGAAAUAAAUGCUCAAGUUAUCUUAUUACUACCACUUGCUAUAUUAUCUCAAGAGAUGAGUGCUCUGAAAAAAAUAGAGAUACGAGGAAAUAAAAAGGGGCAAGUGCUCAGAACCUCGAAAGGAAAGAAAAAGUGAGACGAGAGGUAAAAAUGGACAAGUGUCCGAUAGUAGAAUUAGGGGUACAAGAUACCCAC